UUUCCUAUCUUUCAGGAUCUACGUUCUGAGUUGAAGGAGCUAAUUCCAGAAUAUCAGGAGCGUGUUAAGAAGCUGAGGAAUGAGCAUGCAAAUGUUGAAUUGGGAAAAAUCACUGUUGAUAUGGUAUUUGGUGGAAUGAGAGGAAUGACGGCUUUGGUAUGGCUAGGUUCAGCUGUCGACCCAGAUGAGGUACAUAUCUAAAA